rnacentral:rRNA from 1 species
UACGUAGGGCGCAAGCGUUGUCCGGAAUUAUUGGGCGUAAAGAGCUCGUAGGCGGUUUGUCGCGUCUGCUGUGAAAACCUAAGGCUCAACCUUGGGCUUGCAGUGGGUACGGGCAGACUAGAGUGCGGGUAGGGGUGACUGGAAUUCCUGGUGUAGCGGUGGAAUGCGCAGAUAGUCAGGAAGAACACCCGUGGCGUAAGGCGGUUCUCUAGUACGGUACUGACG